GCUUCCAGGUCAAUGAACACAACCACGAACGAGGAGGAUGACGCAUCUGAACUCCAUGGGGACAGAAGCUCCUGAGCUCGGGACCCUCUGAGCUGUAUCUCUUCAUCUGGCUGUUCAUCUGUAUCCUUUAUCAUAGCCUUUUAAAAACUGGCAAACGUAUUCUAAAGGGAAAGUUAAAUAACCUGGAGCACGGAGUUCCAGAGGAGCAAGUUCAAUACUCGAAGUAAAGGACACUCACCCUUUGGUUAGUAGGGGAUAGACUAGCUUUAAGUAUACUGCAUCUCAGGAGCAACUAAAAUGUGAAAAUUGUAUACUGUCACCAACAGGAAGAAGAACGUCAGCUUCCUUCCAAAUGAAUGCCUCUGUGAAGGAAGACUACACAGUGAGCCUUGCCCCGUUUCAUCGAAGAGAAACAACCUUCUAGCACCACAUGGCCACUCUGAGCUGCCGGCUCGCGGAGGGGCUGACUCCCGUUUGUUUUAAGAGCAAAGCAAAGCACCUCUGGUACCUGCUCUGUGUUGUUAGGGAGGCGUUACCGCUACAGAAUGUGCAGCAAGUAUCAGCUCUGUGCUCAUCUGCCUCCCACAGUAUGUGGUCCCUCUCUAUUCCAGUGGAUGAAACCUCUCUCAUGAAUGGGUUAUUGCCAUUGAAAAACUACUAAUUCUUCUAGUAAUGUAAACAAUACCGCUUUGUCUCUUUAUGACUUUCACUGUGUGAACAUCAUGUGCAGCAAAUAAGUCUACAUGUCACUC